rnacentral:tRNA from 1 species
GCCGGAGUGGCGGAACUGGUAGACGCGCUUGGCUUAGGACCAAGUGAGCUUUGCUCGUGGGGGUGCAAGUCCUCUCUCCGGCACCA